UACAUGGGGUGCAAACGUUGCUCGGAAUUAUUGGGCGUAAAGCGCACGUAGGCGGUUCGUUAAGUCGGAUGUGAAAGCCCUCGGCUCAACUGAGGAAGUGCACCCGAAACUGGCGAGCUUGAGUACGAAAGAGGAUCGCGGAAUUCCCGGUGUAGAGGUGAAAUUCGUAGAUAUCGGGAGGAACACCGGCGGCGAAGGCGGCGAUCUGGGUCGAUACUGACGCUGAGGUGCGAAAGCGUGGGGGAGCAAACAGG
rnacentral:rRNA from 1 species